UUGCUGAGUUCUCUAUUUACACUCUAAUGCAAUGAAACUUAUUCCCAGGGAAAACAUAUGUCUUUUUUUUUUUAUUUAACAGGCCUUAACUUAUUUCACGUAAAAUGCAUUUGGUCACAUUGAAGAGAAUGCACCCAGGCUCUGGGCUAUUCAGGGAUAGAUUGAACUAGGAGAGUAGUGCUGGCACAGAAAAAUGAAUAUGUGUCUGAGGCCAUGUGUGCUCACUGUAUUCCAGUGUACGUUUCAGAUUUCCAGUGAAACCCAUCUACAAAGCAGCUCUAAUCAGUGGAGUAUUCAUUGUGAUUGCAUAUUCUGGAUGAUUUUCUCCAGGUCCAAGAUGAGUAAUUGGUACAUCAGCACUUUUGUUUCCCAGGAGUGCCUGGAGUUGACAAGAGCUGUUCAAGGAGAAGAGGGUACCUACUUUGAAACAGAUCAAUAAACUCUUGUCCUUGGAAACCUUGGAAACCAUUUGACAUUUUCCACCAAAAGAUCCUCUCAAUCAUCCUCUUCACCCUUCUUAGAAGGCUACAUACAAGCCUGUCAUGAUAGAGAACUCCCAGGCCUUUGUUUGGGGCUUCCAAUUCCCAAAGCAGAUUUGAUCUCCCAUUUGGACCAUGGGAAAGCACAGUGGAUGCUGGAAUAAGAAGACCCAAAGAACUGUCUAGACUGGGAAACUAGGACUAAAACCAAGGAUGUUCCUCUAAAACUCAGACAACAGGGGCAGCUUGUAGCACAGUGAAUAGAGCACCAGCCCUGAAGUCAGGAGGACUUGAGUUCAAAUCCAGCCUUAGACAC